rnacentral:rRNA from 1 species
AUACGUAGGGUGCGAGCGUUGUCCGGAAUUGCUGGGCGUAAAGAGCUCGUAGGUGGUUUGUCGCGUCGUCUGUGAAAUUCCGGGGCUUAACUCCGGGCGUGCAGGCGAUACGGGCAUAACUUGAGUACUGUAGGGGAGACUGGCAUUCCUGGUGUAGCGGUGAAAUGCGCAGAUAUCAGGAGGAACACCGGUGGCGAAGGCGGGUCUCUGGGCAGUAACUGACGCUGAGGAGCGAAAGCAUGGGUAGCGAACAGGAUUAGAUCCCCUGGUAGUCCAUGCCGUAAACGGUGGGCGCUAGGUGUAGGGGUCUUCCACGACUUCUGUGCCGUAGCUAACGCAUUAAGCGCCCCGCCUGGGGAGUACGGCCGCAAGGCUAAAACUCAAAUGAAUUGACGGGG